rnacentral:rRNA from 1 species
AGUUCGAUCCCGGGUCAGAUUGAACGCUGGCGGGAUGCUUUACACAUGCAAGUCGAACGGCAGCACGGACUUCUGGUCUGGUGGCGAGUGGCGAACGGGUGAGUAAUGUAUCGGAACGUGCCUAGCGGGGAUAACUACGCGAAAGCGUAGCUAAUACCGCAUACGCCCUUCGGGGAAAGCGGGUGACCUUCGGGCCUCGCACUAUUGAGCAAUAUAUUUGGAUUAGCUAGUUGGUGGGGUAACGGCUCACCAAGGCGACGAUCCGUAGCUGGUUUGAGGACGACCAGCCACACUGGGACCGAGACACGGCCCAGACUCCUACGGAGGCAGCAGUGGGGAAUUUUGGACAAUGGGGGAAACCUGAUCCAGCCAUCCCGCGUGUGCGAUGGCUGGCCUUCGGGCGUAAGCACUUUUGGCAGGAAAGAACGGCACGGGAUAAUACCCCGUGCAACUGACGGUACCUGCAGAAUAAGCACCGGCUAACUACGUGCCAGCAGCCGCGGUAAUACGUAGGGUGCAAGCGUUAAUCGGAAUUACUGGGCGUGAAGCGUGCGCAGGCGGUUCGGAAAGAAAGAUGUGAAAUCCCAGAGCUUAACUUUGGAACUGCAUUUUUAACUACCGAGCUAGAGUGUGUCGUAGAGGGAGGUGGAAUUCCGCGUAGCAGUGAAAUGCGUAGAUAUGCGGAGGAACACCGAUGGCGAAGGCAAUUCUGGGAUAACACUGACGCUCAUGCACGAAAGCGGGGAGCAAACAGGAUUAGAUACCCUGGUAUUCACGCCUAAACGAUGUCAACUAGCUGUUGUAAAUUUCUGGCCGGUAGCGCAGCUAACGCGUGAAGUUGACCGCCUGGGGAGUACGGUCGCAAGAUUAAAACUCAAAGGAAUUGAUGGGGACCCGCACAAGCGGUGGAUGAUGUAGAUUAAUUCGAUGCAACGCGAAAAACCUUACCUACCCUUGACAUGUCUGAAUCCCGAAGAGAUUUGGGGAGUGCUCGCAAGAGAACCGGAACACAGGUGCUGCAUGGCUGUCGUCAGCUCGUGCUUGCAGAUGCUUGUUGGGUCCCGCAACGAGCGCAACCCUUGUCAUUAGUUGCUACGAAAGCGCACUCUAAUGAGGAUCGUUGGUGACAAAACCAGAGAAGGAUGACGUCAAGUCCUCAUGGCCCUUAUGGUAGUGGUCAAGACGCUGUACAAUGGUCGGGACAGAGGGUCGCCAACCCGCGAGGGGAGCUAAUCCCAGAAACCCGAUCGUAGUCCGGAUCGCAGUUGCAACUCGACUGCGUGAAGUCGGAAUCGCUAGUAAUCGCGGAUCAGCAUGUCGCGGUGAAUACGUUCCCGGGUCUUGUACACACCGCCCGUCACACCAUGGGAGUGGGUUUACCAGAAGUAGUUAGCCUUAACCGUAAGGAGGGCGAUUACCACGGUAGGAUUCAUGACUGGGGUGAAGUCGUAACAAGGUAG